rnacentral:rRNA from 1 species
CUACGUGCCAGCAGCCGCGGUAAUACGUAGGUGGCAAGCGUUGUCCGGAAUUAUUGGGCGUAAAGCGCGCGCAGGCGGAUCAGUUAGUCUGUCUUAAAAGUUCGGGGCUUAACCCCGUGAUGGGAUGGAAACUGCUGAUCUAGAGUAUCGGAGAGGAAAGUGGAAUUCCUAGUGUAGCGGUGAAAUGCGUAGAUAUUAGGAAGAACACCAGUGGCGAAGGCGACUUUCUGGACGAAAACUGACGCUGAGGCGCGAAAGCCAGGGGAGCGAACGGGAUUAGAUACCCCGGUAGUCCUGGCCGUAAACGAUGGGUACUAGGUGUAGGAGGUAUCGACCCCUUCUGUGCCGGAGUUAACGCAAUAAGUACCCCGCCUGGGGAGUACGACCGCAAGGUUGAAACUCAAAGGAAUUGACGGGGGCCCGCACAAGCGGUGGAGUAUGUGGUUUAAUUCGACGCAACGCGAAGAACCUUACCAGGU